CCCACAGCAAGGGCAGGGCUCCUUGCCAGCUGACCCACCCAGGAGGCCUUACCACUGCUUGUGUCGUUUGGAUGCAGGGCAGUGCUGGCUGACAGCAGUGGAGGCUCUGCUGAUUCUCACUGCCACCUUCUGAAACCCCUGACCUUGGCAGCCCUCAGUGCCAGAGGAAGGGAGGGGAGGUACCCAGGUGGGAGCCAUGUGUUUUGGAGCAGGAUUGCUGAUCAUGACAAAAACAGAGUUUGUCAAUUCCAGCUGAACUUUACACAAAUGGGUUCACCUACCCGCAGCCAUUGUAACAGCAGCAAACACGCACCAAACAUCCUAGGGGCUAAUGCUCUGCUUCCAUGAUCUUGCUCAUCUCUGAGCCCAACAUCUCUGCAGGUAACACCAUUCUUCUCCACCCUGGUUUCACUGAUGAGGAAACUGAGGCCUAUGAGGAGAUCAGAAGUGCCCUGUGGCCACUCCAGGCUUCAACAUGGGACCGUGGCGCCAAAGCUCAGCCCAGCCACGCACAGGGCUUCUCUGCUGUAGCGAAGCCUUUGGAUUCUCCAGUGAGAAGGUUCUGUAGGCUCCUAGAAAAAGCACGGGAGACCAUGGGCAGUCAUAGUUCACAUCUGUCAUCUGGGAAAAAUUAUAAUUCUGUUCUCUUACACUCUCAAA
rnacentral:lncRNA from 1 species